rnacentral:rRNA from 1 species
UACAGAGGUCCCAAGCGUUGUUCGGAUUCACUGGGCGUAAAGGGUGCGUAGGUGGUGAGGUAAGUCGGAUGUGAAAUCUCCGAGCUCAACUCGGAAAUGGCAUUGGAAACUACCUUGCUAGAGGGUUGGAGGGGGGACUGGAAUGCUUGGUGUAGCAGUGAAAUGCGUAGAUAUCAAGCGGAACACCAGUGGCGAAGGCGAGUCCCUGGACAACUCCUGACACUGAGGCACGAAAGCUAGGGGAGCAAACGGG